ACAACGACUCUCGGCAACGGAUAUCUCGGCUCUCGCAUCGAUGAAGAACGUAGCGAAAUGCGAUACUUGGUGUGAAUUGCAGAAUCCCGUGAACCAUCGAGUCUUUGAACGCAAGUUGCGCCCGAAGCCGUCAGGCCGAGGGCACGUCUGCCUGGGCGUCACG
rnacentral:rRNA from 3 species